rnacentral:tRNA from 1 species
CAGAUGUAGUUUAAUGGUAAAACAUCAGCUUCCCAAGCUGAGGUCGGGGGUUCGAUUCCCCUCAUCUG